CCGGUGAAGUUUUCGGAUUGCGGCGACGUGGGCGGUUCGCUGCCCGCGACGUUGUGAGAAGUCCACUGAACCUUAUCAUUUAGAGGAAGGAGAAGUCGUUAACAAGGUUUCCGUAGGUGAACCUGCGGAAGGAUCAUUG
rnacentral:rRNA from 1 species